rnacentral:rRNA from 1 species
ACACAUGCAGUCGAACGGUGAAGCCAAGCUUGCUUGGUGGAUCAGUGGCGAACGGGUGAGUAACACGUGAGCAACCUGCCCUGGACUCUGGGAUAAGCGCUGGAAACGGCGUCUAAUACUGGAUAUGAGACGUGAUCGCAUGGUCGUGUUUGGAAAGAUUUUUCGGUCUGGGAUGGGCUCGCGGCCUAUCAGCUUGUUGGUGAGGUAAUGGCUCACCAAGGCGUCGACGGGUAGCCGGCCUGAGAGGGUGACCGGCCACACUGGGACUGAGACACGGCCCAGACUCCUACGGGAGGCAGCAGUGGGGAAUAUUGCACAAUGGGCGGAAGCCUGAUGCAGCAACGCCGCGUGAGGGAUGACGGCCUUCGGGUUGUAAACCUCUUUUAGCAGGGAAGAAGCGAAAGUGACGGUACCUGCAGAAAAAGCGCCGGCUAACUACGUGCCAGCAGCCGCGGUAAUACGUAGGGCGCAAGCGUUAUCCGGAAUUAUUGGGCGUAAAGAGCUCGUAGGCGGUUUGUCGCGUCUGCUGUGAAAUCCCGAGGCUCAACCUCGGGUCUGCAGUGGGUACGGGCAGACUAGAGUGCGGUAGGGGAGAUUGGAAUUCCUGGUGUAGCGGUGGAAUGCGCAGAUAUCAGGAGGAACACCGAUGGCGAAGGCAGAUCUCUGGGCCGUAACUGACGCUGAGGAGCGAAAGGGUGGGGAGCAAACAGGCUUAGAUACCCUGGUAGUCCACCCCGUAAACGUUGGGAACUAGUUGUGGGGACCAUUCCACGGUUUCCGUGACGCAGCUAACGCAUUAAGUUCCCCGCCUGGGGAGUACGGCCGCAAGGCUAA